CUGGAGUUGAACUUAAUGAUCCGUAUUACCCGCUUCAACGGUCUACUACUACUAAACGCAUUUUCGGUGCGCGGUAGACUGGUGAACGGCAUUCAGCAUUAAGUCGACGACAGUCAGAUAAAAAAACCCGCGCCGCUGCGCGGGUUUUUUU
rnacentral:sRNA from 1 species